rnacentral:hammerhead_ribozyme from 1 species
AUCCAGCUGAUGAGUCCUAAACGGAACGAAAUGCGCAUCCUGGAU